rnacentral:rRNA from 1 species
AUUGAACGCUGGCGGCAGGCCUAACACAUGCAAGUCGAACGAGUGGCGGACGGGUGAGUAAUGUCUGGGAAACUGCCCGAUGGAGGGGGAUAACUACUGGAAACGGUAGCUAAUACCGCAUACCAUCGGAUGUGCCCAGAGGGGAGUAGCUUGUAGGUGAGGUACCGGCUCACCUAGGCGACGAUCCCUCGCUGGUCUGAGAGGAUGCCCAGCAACACUGGAACUGAGACACGGUCCAGUCUCCUACGUGAGGCAGCAGUGGGGAAUAUUGAACAAUGGGCGCAAGCCUGAUGCAGCCAGGCCGCUUGUAUGAAGAAGGCCUUCGGGUUGUAAAGUACUUUCAGCGGGGAGGCGUUACCCGCAGAAGAAGCACCGGCUAACUCCGUGCCAUCAGCCGCGGUAAUUC